rnacentral:rRNA from 1 species
CAGCAGCCACGGGAAUACGUAGGUGGCAAGCGUUGUCCGGAAUUAUUGGGCGUAAAGGGCUCGCAGGCGGUUUCUUAAGUCUGAUGUGAAAGCCCCCGGCUCAACCGGGGAGGGUCAUUGGAAACUGGGAAACUUGAGUGCAGAAGAGGAGAGUGGAAUUCCACGUGUAGCGGUGAAAUGCGUAGAGAUGUGGAGGAACACCAGUGGCGAAGGCGACACUCUGGCCUGUAACUGACGCUGAGGAGCGAAAGCGUGGGGAGCGAACAGGAUUAGAGACCCCGGUAGUCCCUGUCUCUUAUAC